rnacentral:tmRNA from 1 species
GGGGGCGAAAAGGGUUCGACGGAGGUCAUGAAGCUUAAGAAGCAUGCCGGGGGUCCUGGCCGCCCGUAUUCCGGUCGGGGUUAAAGCAAACGCAGACGACUAUGCGUACGCUGCAGCCGCUUAAGCCGGCUGCCGUUCCUUCGGCCUAAGCCCGUAAGGCCGAAAGGGGCGUCGACUCUCCGGGCUGGUUUCCGAGGCUUCGCCCAAGGCCGAGGAGACGAGAACUUCAAGGGCUAGCUUCCGGUGGAUCCGGCUCACGGGGAGCCCGAGGAAGCGAAAUUCAAAACUGUGGCUAAGCAUGUAGAAGCUUAAGCGGAAGGCUUUCGGACGCGGGUUCGAUUCCCGCCGCCUCCACCA